CGCCUGAUACUUGCUUCAACCU
rnacentral:miRNA from 12 species